AGGACGAACGCUGGCGGCGCGCCUAAAACAUGCAAGUCGAACGAGAAACCCGGGCUUGCCCGGGUGGACAGUGGCGAACGGGUGAGUAACACGUGAGGAACCUGCCCCGAAGACCGGGACAACACCGGGAAACCGGUGCUAAUACCGGAUACCUUCACCGAAUCGCAUGGUCUGGUGAAGAAAUGGAUUCCGCUUCGGGAUGGCCUCGCGGCCUAUCAGCUUGUUGGUGAGGUAAUGGCUCACCAAGGCGACGACGGGUAGCUGGUCUGAGAGGAUGUCCAGCCACACUGGGACUGAGACACGGCCCAGACUCCUACGGGAGGCAGCAGUUAGGAAUCUUGCGCAAUGGGCGAAAGCCUGACGCAGCGACGCCGCGUGCGGGAUGAAGGCCUUGGUUGUAAACCGCUUUCAGCAGGGACGAAAUUGACGGUACCUGCAGAAGAAGCCCCGGCCAACUACGUGCCAGCAGCCGC
rnacentral:rRNA from 1 species